CCCGGAGACCCGGGCGCACAGGCCGCGCAGGAGAGAUGCGCCUGAGCGGCCACCAGAAACCGCAGCGUCCAGUGCCCGGUGGGCUGGAUCCUGUGCUCUAGGAGCACCUACGAAGUCCCCCUCCAUCUCCACCCAUCUAUCUGGGGCACGGAGACAGAACCGCGAGGCCAGGAUCGCUUCCUUCCUCACCUUGGGACAACCGGACCAACUUCCCCCAAAGGCCCUGCUGGGCUGAACCGGCCCAGAUUAAUAAAGACCUGAACCGCC